CCAGUGAUCCAGGUUCAAUUGUUGCACAAGAAGCUUGUACGUUCUCCCCAUGACCGCACUGGUUUCCUCCAGGUGCUUCAGCUUCCUCCCACAGUCCAAAGAUGAACAGUGAAUGCAUCUCCACAUCCUUUGAUCAUGUUAUAUCAACACUCUGAGCCUGUACUUGCAAAAGCCUUCAGGGCGUUAAUGCAGUGAAAUGUGGGAUACCCUAAAUAGUCCUCUGUGUGAGGAACGUUGAGCCAAAUCAACAAAUAGCUCUCAGCCCUCUGCUCAGCUUGUUUUAGAAUUUUGUACAUGCUUGGCCAAACAUGGAAGUCAGAGAUGACCUGAAGGUUAGAUGUUGGAGACUCAAAGCUGCCACUGGACUCACCAUGGGUGUUCCGGGAAGAAGGGAUGGAUGGAUGUCACGGCUGGUCCCUCAUCCUUGUGCCAAGGUGGACAGAUGAAGGAUCGAUGGUUCCAUUUGUUUAAAUGAGGUCGCCUGCCUGUGAAGGAAGGUAAAGGCAGAGGUGAGAGGCGGAGGAAAAGAAGUGAUCAAUUAAAAUGAAGCGAGCAGUGUGAAGAUCAAGUCUGCACGUGAGGCUCUCAGAAGCAAAUACAGAGCACCCUUGAUUCAUGAAUAAAGCAUUUUGAAUGUGAAUGGAAGAGCUUCUGCUGUAGAACUCCAGUCAGACACCAAUUUGUCACCAAUGACGAAAAAAUGAUGCAUGUGCUAUAGACAUUUGACGCAAGCGACAUUUGUUCACUGUUGAUUGCAAAAACCAUUGCAGGCAUAACUUUAAUAAAGAGAUGUAGU